UAAAUGCAAGGAUUGCACACAGGUGAUGAAACAUACAGGUAAACACACGUGAUUGGAAGCAUUCUUUACUUCUAAUAUAAAAAGGACACUCUCUCAAACAAUACAAAUAUUAUUUCCUUUCCAUUUAAAUUGAUUUAUCAUUAUGCUAAACAAUUUUUCUUAUAAAAAUUCAAAUAUUGCUACCUUUACCAAAUCAGAUGCUUAUUAUAAAAACAAUGCUGUCUACAGUCUCAGAAUACCAUCAACAUCUUUUUACAAUUAGAAUUUCAUAAUAUUGUUCUGCCUGGUUAAGUUCUUAUGAUUUUUUCUCUUCUUAUCAGUGGGUUAAUAAAAGGUAUAACAUGUGUCUCACUUUCUGAUUUUGUACUACAUAUAUCCAUUAUCUCGAUAAAGGUACUUUAAGUAGGAUUUUGCUGCAAUUAAUGGUAGCAAUGUUUUGGACACAGAAGGAACAGGUGCUUGUUGUCAUGACACAAGGAAGAGUCUACAGUAUAAGGGAGUUGUUGUCCCCUCUACACAGAAGAGUCUACAAAGCCGUGACAACUGCCCGUGGCAGGGGAGUUGUCUGCCCCUCUAAGUGUACAGACACUCACAGCAUGGUGUUGGCCUCCUGAA